rnacentral:rRNA from 1 species
CCUUUGUACACACCGCCCGUCGCUACUACCGAUUGAAUGGCUCAGUGAGGCUUCCGGACUGGCCCAGAGAGGUCGGCAACGACCACUCAGGGCCGGAAAGUUCGUCAAACUCGGUCAUUUAGAGG